AAUGAACGCUGGCGGCAUGCCUAAUACAUGCAAGUCGAACGAGAGCACGGGGACCUGGCGCCUAUGGGUUUGUAACGGGACGGAAGCGUACCACAUGGACGGAAUACCUCUCCGACUGGGGUACCAACGGCGGACAAUGUCUUCGGCCCAAGGAUUUAUUGACUUUGGUGGGGCCGGAGUUGGAUUCGCUCGUGGGUAGGGUUAAAGCUUCCUAAGGGGACGAUUCAUAACUGGUUUGAGAGGAUGAUCAGCCACACUGGGACUGAGACACGGCCCAGACUCCUACGGGAGGCAGCAGUGGGGAAUAUUGGACAAUGGGCGAAAGCCUGAUCCAGCAAUGCCGCGUGAGUGAUGAAGGCCUUAGGGUUGUAAAGCUCUUUUACCCGGGAUGAUAAUGACAGUACCGGGAGAAUAAGCUCCGGCUAACUCCGUG
rnacentral:rRNA from 1 species